UGAAUAGCUCAGCCAUGAACAUGAGACUCUUAAUCUCAGGGUUCUGGGUUUGAGCCCCAUGUUGGGCAA